rnacentral:rRNA from 1 species
UACGGGGGGGGUAAGCGUUGUUCGGAAUUACUGGGCGUAAAGGGCUCGUAGGCGGCCAACUAAGUCAGACGUGAAAUCCCUCAGCUUAACUGGGGAACUGCGUCUGAUACUGGCGAUCUCGAGUUCGGGAGAGGUGAGUGGAACUGCGAGUGUAGAGGUGAAAUUCGUAGAUAUUCGCAAGAACACCAGUGGCGAAGGCGGCUCACUGGCCCGAUACUGACGCUGAGGUGCGAAAGCGUGGGGAGCAAACAGG